UUGUUCUUGAAAUAAGUUUGUUCUUUUCAAGACAAUUUGUUCUUGAAUAUUUUCUAAUAAUAACUUAAUAUACUUAUUUCACAGUACAUUUGUUUUCUGCAAUGAGAUAUUAAUAUUCAUUAAUAUGUUUUCUGAUUUUCUCAUCGCAGAUUGACUGGAAGCCUGGUACCUAGUUUACGUGUGAGGGCGCAAAGCUUCAUGGGAUAGCGUCGUUUUAAAAUUAGUGAUGGGCGAUACCACUAGUAUCGAUUCGAUACGAUACCGAUUACUUUUUCGUAAAAGUAUCGAGGUAUCGAUUACCCAAGCGAUUACUACGACGACGAUUGUAUUUAAGAAUUUUCCGCCAUUAUAAUCCAUGAAAAACAAAAAUUUAUUUAUUUCCCGCCUUUUUCGUAAUUUAUUCUGUCGACGAGGUCAGGAAUAUUAAUCAGGAAAGUGGAUAGAAUGUGAAAUAAAGUAAAGGAAGUUUCAUUAAAUUGGUAAAUGCAGCAAAAUACAAAAAAGUACAUAACUUUUAUUAGAAAUAGCCAUGAAAACGAUGACACAACUACAGAAUUAUAAUGAAUGUCUAAUUUUAAAAGUAAUCAAAACACUUUUUCGAUACCGUGCAGUAUCGACUACUUCCGAUUUGGGCCUGGUAUCGGGUGGUAUCGAUAUCAAGUAAUCGGUAAUCGCC